GUCAGGCAUGGUGGUGCGUGCCUGUAAUCUCAGCUACUGGGAGGCUGAGACAGGAGAAUCUCUUGAACCCGGGAUGCAGAGGUUGCAGUGAGCUGAAAUCGCGCCAUUGCACUCCAGCCUGGAAAACAAGUGUGAAAUUCCGUCUCAAAAAAAAGAAGGUUGUUUUGUUUUGUGAUGGAGUCUCGCUCCUGUCUCCCAGGCUAGAGUGCAAUGGCGCGAUCUUGGCUCACUGCAACUUCUGCCUCCCAGGUUCGAGCAAUUCUCCUGCCUCAG
rnacentral:SRP_RNA from 1 species